AGAAACCAAAGAACUGGAUGGAUGAAACGGAGGCAGUGUCCUAAGCCACGUCUGUACUGCCAGAGCAACAUGACUUUCCUGUUGCAGUCUUGUUGUUGCUGUCAUCCCAGAUUUCAUCAACUAACUUGGUAUCAGAUCGUCGGCUUCCAAAAGACAGCCUGAGAUCAGCAGGAAGUCUCUCCGACUGGAUGCAGCUCUCCAACGAGUCUUGAUGAGACAGACCGGGAACUCCGGUGCCAUCCUGCGCGGUGCAGACGUUGCGCUUCGGUGCGCAGAGCUCCUCUGUACUCCUGUUACCGGGCUUCCCCCGGUCAUCACGUCCGCUGGAGGGCUGCGGAGUGGUUCUGCGCCGGGUUUCCGAACAUCUCGACCGACAGACCGGACCCCGCCAGCCGCUCCGGUAUCGUCAUGGCGUUGAGGUACGACAUCCUCUCCUCGCUCUCCGAGAGGCCGGAGCUGA